CGAAGCCCUCCGUGCUCAGCAUCUCGGCGGCAGAAGGAAGGCAGCAGAGCGGUGCCGGCGCAGGCGAACGCAGCUAUUCAUACUCACGCCGGGGGAAGGAAUAAAAUAUAAAAGGAGGAGGGAAAGAGGAAGGAUUAAAAGAAAAAAAAAAAAAAAAAAAGGGAGAGAGAGAGACGCGGACACGGACACACACAGAGGACUCCUCUCCUUUCGGUGUCUGCACUUAUGCCCGGUGCAGCUCACUUCCAGCCCUGCUGCCAACCUGCUGCCUACUUCUACCCCGGAGAAACCUCAGCUCAACCCCAAACCGGGCCCCCGGGGACCCCCGCCCGCACCGUGAGCAAGGGCACAGGAUGGCCUCAGUUCUCCCACUGCUGCUGCUCUGGGUGUUUGCCCCCACGGUGGUCCCGGAGGUGCUCAGCCCUGAAGAUGUCACAGAUGACCUCAAGGCCCUGCAGGUGUCCAUCCCACGGCACCCAGCCCUUCACGCUGUGCUGGCAGGGGACGUCACCAUCCCCUGCCUCAUCACCUACCUCGCACCCCUGCCCACUGCCAGCACGGCGGGACGCCGAGCAGUGCUGGGAGCCCCCCGGGUCAAGUGGACCUUCAUUUCCGAAGGCAGGGAGGCGGAGAUCUUGGUAGCACGGGGGGAAAAGGUGAAGGUGAGUGAGGACUACCGCCUCCGUGCCUCCUUGCCUGUCUUCCAUCAGCGUUACACUGACGCCUCUCUGCUGCUCACCGAGCUGCGCCCCAACGACUCGGGGAUCUACCGCUGCGACGUGCAGCAUGGCAUCGAGGACGGCCACGACAUCCUCGACCUCAGAGUCAAAGGAGUGGUGUUUCACUACCGUGGGGGUUCCACACGCUACACCUACACUUUUGCCGAGGCGCAGGAGGCGUGCACUGCCAUCAGUGCCAGCAUUGCCACCCCUGAGCAGCUGUAUGCUGCCUAUCUGGGAGGCUAUGAGCAAUGUGAUGCUGGCUGGAUCGCUGACCAGACCGUCAGGUACCCCAUCCACACUCCCCGCGAGGCGUGCUACGGAGACAUGAAUGGCUUCCCAGGGGUGAGGAACUACGGUGUGGUGGACCCGGAGGACAUGUACGACGUGUACUGUUAUGCUGAGGACGUGCCAGGGGAAAUAUUUUUGGAGACGGCCCCGGACAAGUUUACCCUGGAGGAGGCGGUGGCGCGGUGCCGGGCGCAGGGUGCGGUGCUGGCGAGCACAGGACAGCUCUACGCAGCCUGGAGUGCAGGGUUGGAUGCCUGCAACCCCGGCUGGCUGGCUGAUGGCAGCGUCCGCUAUCCCAUCGUCACCCCGCGGGAGCGCUGCGGAGGAGCCCUGCCGGGUGUCAAAACCAUCUUCCAGUUUCGCAACCAGACGGGAUUCCCCGAUGCACAGAGCAGAUACGAUGCGUACUGCUUCCGAGAAGGGACAAACUCUUUCCCUGAGGCUGCAGGAAAAUAUCAAGCCAGAGAGCCCGAGGGCCUCCAGGAGAUUGUUACAGUGGCAGAAAAGCUGGAGGAGCUGCAGCUGCCCAAAGCGCAAGUGGAGAUUGAGUCGCGAGGGGCUAUAUACGCCGUCCCUUUCUUUAAGGACGUGGCUGAUGCUGAGCUGGAAAAGCCAAGCCUGUCCCCCGAAGACACCCGGCACCCCCCAGUAGAUACCUCCUCGUCCUCAGCACGAGGACGUCACCCAUCCUCUGCUGCCCCUUUCCCCACAGCCCCAGCCGUCCCCAAGGCAGGCAUCCCGCAUAGCUGUGCUGUACAACCAGGCAGCCCGUCCCCUGCAGACCAGGACGAGGCGACAGGGACAGGUGGAAGGUGCACAGAGGCCAGGCAAGAGCCAUCCCGCACGGAGGAUGGAGCAGCACUGGAACGGCCGCUGGGCUCUGUGCUGGGUGAGGACUUCGGGAACACAGCAGGAGAGAGUCCAGGCAGAGGGCAAGAGCCUGGACAGCCCAUGAAGCCGAAUGUGCAGACAGUCUUGGUGGGCACAGAAGGACCCAGUGACGCCCUGUCCCCAUCGGUGGCUGCAGCAGAUAUCCAAGAGCCAUCCUCCUCCGUAGGCAGCCGUGGGGCUGGGGGGACCAGCACCCCCAUCCACACUGUGGGGGCUGCUGAGGACCCCGAGCUGUCAGGAGAUGUGACCGAAAACCCUGGGGCAUCCCCGCUGCCCCCUGCACCGCCACAGCUGCAGGAUGAUGGAGAGGAGCAGUCAGGGGCCCCGUGGCUCUCCUCACCCACAGCACCAGGGGAUGGGGGCACAGCCCCAGCAACGGAGGUCACCCCAUGGCACGCAGAGUUGCCCAGCAGCAGCGAUGCACUGCAAACCCCAAGCACUGAUCGCGGGAUGCCCGCUGCAUCUUCAGAAGAGGAGGAGGGUGAGGAAGAGGAGGAGGAUGAAGAAGAGCGCCCGAUGCCCUCUGUUGCAACCGUGGAGGGUUUCCUUGCAGCCAUCCCCGGAGAACCAGGUGGCUGCAUCCCCAACCCCUGCCUGAAUGGAGGGACCUGCAUUGAGGAUGGCACCCAUCCCACCUGCCUCUGCCUGCCAGGUUACGGAGGGAGCAGCUGUGAGAGACCGUUGAAGAGGUGCAGCCCCAGCUGGGACAGCUUCCAGGGAGCCUGCUACAAGCACUUCUCCACUCGGAGGAGCUGGGAGGACGCCGAGUCACAGUGCAGACAUUUUGGGGGGCAUCUGGCCACCAUCCUGACCCCCGAGGAGCAGGACUUCAUCAACGAACAGUACCGCGAGUACCAAUGGAUCGGCCUCAACGACCGCACCAUCGAGGGGGACUUCCAGUGGUCCGACGGCAGCCCCCUGCUCUAUGAAAAUUGGCACCCGGGGCAACCCGACAGCUACUUUCUCUCCGGUGAGAACUGCGUGGUCAUUGUGUGGCACGACGGGGGACAAUGGAGUGAUGUCCCCUGCAAUUACCACCUCUCCUACACCUGCAAAAUGGGGCUGGUGCAGUGCGGACCCCCCCCCACCGUCAGCAACGCCCUCGCCUUCGGCAAACCAAAGCAGCGCUACGAGAUCGGCUCCAUCACGCGCUACCACUGCCGCCACGGCUUCGCCCCGCGCCGCUCCCCCAUCAUCCGCUGCCGUGAGGAUGGGAUUUGGGAACGGCCCCAGCUCUCCUGCCGCCCCGGGCUGGCUCAGCACUCCGAGGACUGAGUGAGCUGUCACCUUCCCAGGACCCGGAGCGGGCAUGGAUGAGGAUGUCACCGGGAUGGCAAUGCAGCACUGGAGGGCAAGAGGUGUCCUGGGCUGGGGGAUGCUGGAGGUACCUUGCAGUGCAGAGGUGAAGCAGAAGGCAUCAAAGCGGUCCCACUGCUUGUCCUUGGCCCCAUA